ensembl:snoRNA
UUGCAUGUGGCUAUUUCUGCUUUUCAUUCCUUUGGGAGCACAAUGUAUUCUUAGCAUGCUGCAUUUAAAAAAGGAGUUUGCAAAGCUAGAGACUGAAUAGUGGUAUAUUUCUUCUACAAAA